AUUUUUUAAAUUCCUUUUUCAUGACUAUAACAAUUCGAUUAUAAGCACAAACCGUAAAGAUAUUUGAUAACAGUUAAUUACUACAAAGUUACAAAAUAUUUAAACAAUGAUUCAUAAACAUAUCAUAAAUAAGAUCAACAUUAACAAAAUAAAUAGGUUUUUUUACGAGACGGAUUGGCGGAACGGGUUUGGCAGGACGUUACUUAAUAACAAUUGUAAUUUAUAAAAUAAAAAUAUUUUAUAGAUAUAUACAAUUUGUAAACUUUUAUAUAUAAUAA
rnacentral:sRNA from 1 species